AGUUGUUUAGCUUAAUUAAAGCAUAUAUUUUGAAAAUAUAAGAUAGAUACUCAUUUAAUAACUU
rnacentral:tRNA from 1 species